rnacentral:rRNA from 4 species
UAUUAUUUCUGCCCAGUGUAUAUAAUAUUAACGGCCGCAGUACUUUGACUGUGCUAAGGUAGCAUAAUCAAUUGGCUUUUAAUUUGAGUCUGGAAUGAAAGGAUUUAUGGGGAUUUACUGUUUCAAAUGUAUAAUAUUGAAUUUAUUAAAAAAGUGAAAAUACUUUUGUUUUAAAAAAAGACGAGAAGACCCUAAGAAUUUUUAGAAUAUAUUUAUACAAUUAUUUCUUUUUGUUGGGGCGACAAUUAAACAAUUAAACUUUAAUUAUUUUUAAUCGGUUUUUUCAGUAAAAAAUAAAUUACCUUAGGGAUAACAGCAUAAUUUAAAAAA